rnacentral:lncRNA from 1 species
CGAACCAGGUCACGACUCCAGUGGAAUAAUUUUCUAAAAAUGCAUAUACUCUGUUUCCUUUUCGUCGUGUUGGGGAAUAAUUUCUUCCCAGUAUCCUCUGUGGUUCUUGGGAGAUUUGUGGUUUUGGAUUUCCUGGAUUAUGAUGUAACAUCCCUUCUUUUGCUCAUCUGUUCGGGAUCCAAUUCAAAGGGAAAGGACUGGGGAAGAAGAAGUGGAUGUAUUGAUGGAUGAUUAGAAAG